rnacentral:lncRNA from 1 species
GAAACUUUUAGAAAAUAAAUUUCGUAAAUUUUCGAAAUCAUAAUAAAGUCCAUCAAGUGGGCAUAAAAUGAACGGUCAAAAUCGAACGACGUUCUAAAAAAGGAUGAUCGAAUCCUUCAAUUCAAGAUCGAAGUUAUUGAUCUUUAUCUAUGUAGUGAAUAGAAUUUUCUAUAAAAAAUUCAACAAAUUCCGAUUCUUUUACACCAU